AGGUUGAUUGGAUGUACUAUUUGGCAUUUGGUGCUGUUGUCACCGGCAUUGUUAUCUACUCUAUAAGUUACGGAGAUGAGGAUCAGCACCCUCCUAAUGCUGUUGAAGAACCUACCGCCAUCAGACGGGACGAGGAAACGGGUUCAGCAAGAUUUAGCAAAGGAUCUGUGGCUGGAAGCUCAAAAAGCUAGGUAGCGUCAAGAAAGUUUAGACCUAGAGUUCCAUCCAAAGGAAAAACCAUGAGGAAGACCCUCUUUCAGAAGUGGGCUGUUCUAAAUUUGUUUCCAAUGCUCCUCCAUGAGUACUCGUUUUGCUUGUAUAUUCUUUGUCAGCACACUCUUUAUAGUUGAAAUUUAUGUUGGUCUCAUUAUUUUAGGAAUAAGAUUCACCAAAUAUAAAAUGGGAUUCAAAUAAUUUAGUUAGUGAGACUCACAUAGAUUUCAUGAAUAAUAGAGUGUGUUAUUAGACUGUGUUUAUUUAGUUAGAUGUUGCUCUUGUUUGCA